rnacentral:misc_RNA from 1 species
CUGAAGAUAAGAGGGUCUUGAGACUGCGUCCCAAUCAGUGGCGUGUGCUCGUCCCUUACUCUUUCAUCCACAUACACCUUUGUGCACUAUGGGGACGUCAAUGUCCCCCUUUUUUACAUUAAACACCGAGUUUUAUAUGCAUGUCUUAUUAUUGCUCUACGGAGUAAAAUGUAA